rnacentral:lncRNA from 1 species
UCGGGGAUUUAAAUGGUCAAACUAGUAGAUUCAAAAAUUGAUCCUAAGUUCAUGCUUUUCUACAAUACAAAAUAAAUAGAGUUAUCUAUGCAAAGUUUAAAAAUAUGAUAAGAAAGUUAAAGUCAGAGUCAUGUACAUAAUCAUUUAUUUGAAGCUACAUACAUGGAAUAUGAACCACAAGCAUCAAAACAUAUAUAUCAUUUGUCAUUUUUUCAUAUAGAAACUAAUACCGAACACGCUGGCCAGCUGGAUGAAAGAGUAAAAUAUACAAAGUAAAGCGGUCGAGAUUACUGAUUGUGGGGCAGUGAACUGAGGGCGUUGUCGAUCUAGAAUCCCGAACUCGCUAUUUCAAAACGAGCAAGGAUGAACAACCUUUGCUAAAAAUAAAACACGUAUGAAAGUAUUUCAAAGCUAGGCAACUAAUACUUUUUGUGGGUGUUCUUGCAAGUAUUCUGGCCUUUGAGAAAGGUGAAAAUUUUCCAAUGUUCAAAGGUGCUUUUGGCUGAGAGUUUGAGAUGUUUUUAUAGGCCAAAAUUCAGAUUAAGAUAUGUUUGAGCCGGAGUUUGAACAUGACUGUUUGAAUUCAAAAUGACCGUUCACAAUAAUCCAAAAUAAAGCCAAAGAGAUGCUAAAAUAUCGUUGUAUUCCAGGUCUACAUAUUUCAUGAUAGGCCAAGGAUUUGAAAUCUUUUGAGUGCUUAAAGAGAAAAAUUUGCCUUGAUAGAGAAAGAUGUUGAAAAAAAAUACAAAGAGUGAGAAGAGUUUCACCAAAAUAGAGAAACCAAAAUAUGUCCAUGUUGAAAGCUAAAUGGAGCUUUGCACAUAAAUGGAAAAGGAGAAAGCGACGUUUUGGAGAGAAGUGUGGCUGAUGAGUUUAGAAUAAUAUUAGGGUUGAAGAUUUUCUGAUAUAUUUUAAAUGGGCUAAGCGAAUUUGGGCCUAUUUUGGACAGAUUUGACAUAAAAAAAAAAGGGGCUGAAUAUUUGGUCCGAUUGGAAUUCGAUUAGGCCCAAUUUUAUGGUCCUUUUCUUUCUUAUAUUAAUUCUUUUAAGCUUCUAACUAGUAUAAAUACAUUAUAUAAAUUUUUUAGUAAGGACGAAACUUGAAAUAAAGUAACGACAAUCUAUUGUAAAGAAGACGACAAUAAAGUAAUAAUAGUAAUGUCGAAAAUAAAAUAUAUAAUUUUAAAAUAUGAAAAUGAUAAUACAAAGAUGAUAAUCAUAAAAAAUAAUAAAAGUUAAAGUAAUAUAGAUAAUUACGAUAGCAGUGGAGAUAAAUGGAAAAUAAUAGCGAAUUAUAAAGUAUUCGACUUAUUAGCAACUUAGAAGCUCAACGAAAUAAAUUAGAAGAAAGGAGGGACAAAAUUUGGUGUCAACAUCUUGCCCCUCUUUGACCGGAGACGAUGAAAUAGUUUUCGGGCAAAGAAGUUGACUAAGUGACCAAUUUUGUCUCGACCAACAAAUAUUGGCACGGGAAGAGUUUGAGAGGAGUGGUACUAACGUAAUUUAGUCAAGAGGGGUCACAGAAUGAGUUAAUUGAGCUGAGAUGUAGAGGUGGUUAUGAAAGAAGAAUUGGAUAACCUACAUUUCACGUAUUCGUGGUAUGUAAGUAGAAAUGAGUUCGAGAGUAGAUCCUUGACCUUUGCUAGCGAGUUUGAUAUUCCUCUUCAGCAAAUUUGCCCCAGUUCACUGCUAAGAAAAAGUUCCACGUUGUGCUGCAUCUCUUUUUAUGUCGUCCGCACCUGUGGUUUGAUUUGAGAAUUCAUCCUCUCGGAUGCUCUCGGCAAAGACGGAAAUAAACGUGUUAGUAGAAACUGUAAUUUAUAUAGAGAAGUGACAUGUUUUACCGUAUUCAACACAUGUUUUUAUUUUAUGUUGACCUUUGUUGGAAAGUUAAACUUUCUAUACAAAUUGCCCCAGUUCACUGCUAAGAGAGAGCUCAACAUUGUGAUGCGUCUGUAGUUGUUUUUGACUGUUUUUCCUAAAACUCAUGUUAAAACUGUCAUUGAAGUCGAGAGAUAAAAUUAAAGUGUAAGAAUGUAUAAAUGAAUGGUAAUAUAUGUAUAUGUGAGAAUGGGGUGAAGUCGUGUGACUUAUGAAAGGCGUGUGGCCAAAUGUUGUCUCUAGUUGUCUUUAGAGACUUGGUAAAUAAAGAUGUCUCUGAUUGUCUACAGAGACUUGAUGUUGAGAGCCGUAUGGCUUAUGAUGAUAAGGUCGUAUGGCCAAUUGGUAUCUCCGUUUGUCUUCGAAGCAUAAUGGCAUAUGACGUCUCUGGUUGUUUUCAGAGACUUAAUGAUGAUGAUGUCUAUAAAGUUUAAGGUAAAACCAUUAAAUUAGGUAAAGUAGAUUAAAGUAAUUGGUAAAGUAGUGAAUAAAGUAAGAGUGUAGCCGUCUGGCUUAUGCAAAUGAUGUAGUUAAUGUCUCUGGUUGUCUUCAGAGACUUGAAUGAUAAAUAAGGCCACCGGUUGUCUUCGGGGACUUAAAUGAGGCCUCCGGUUGUCUUCGGGGUCCCAAUGAUAAAUGAUGUCUAAUAUCCUCCGAUUGUCUACGGGGACUAGAAUGAUAAAUAAGGCCUUCAGUUGUCUUCGGGGUCUCGAUGAUAAAUGAUGUCAUAUCCUAUUUUAGGGUGGAUGAACUCAUGUCCUAUUUUAGGGUGGACGAACCCAAAUGUCCUCCGAUUGUCUAUGGGGACUAAUUGUAAUGAUGCCCCCGAUUGUUUUUCGGGGCUUGAUGGAGUGACGCCUCUGAUUGUUUUCGGGGAUUGAUGAAGUAAUGCCUCCGGUUGUCUUCGGGGCUAGAUGUUGAUUGUUGUAAAAAUGUAGAGCAAAAUUAUAAAUAAAGUCAUGAUAAAGUAAAAUAAGACAAAGGUAGGUGAGAAAUAAAGUCGUGUGAGAUAUGAUGGUGGAGCCGUGGGGUAAAGUGAUGUCUUUAAUUGUCUUUGAAGGCCUUUGCUGAUUUGUAAUUAGUUGAAAGUCGCCUCUGAUCUUCGAUAUUUAAGCCUUGAUGUACAAUUUGGUGGAUUGAGUGGCCCUUGUAAUGAACUUGAUUCUUAUUCAAUAAAUCAAGGGAAUUUUACCUGCAAAUUUUGGGUAAAUAUGUUAGUAAGAAUAUAAAGUCAUGAUGAAUUAAAAGAAAUAAAGUAAAAUUAAAGAUGUGGUCAUUUGACUUAUUCAGGCGAGGUCCUGGAGGCAAACGAUGAUUUUAAUGUAAUCCAAUAGUGACUUCUUGUAUCUUUGUUGUUCCUGCACUCAAAGAAAAAUUCUUAGUUGGAAGGGGGUGUUGAUUCGCGUUGAAUCGAAGCUUGACUUUGUUGGCCUUCCGUCCAUCAUGUUUGUUCAGAACUUAUGAUCUCCGUUUGAGACUUGGUAGAUGAACAAUAAAAAUAUCUUAUAAAAUAAAAAUUAUCAUUUGAAAGAGAUAUUUGUUAGUGUAGAAGAAAUGUAAGUCUAUGUUUAUAAGUUGUGAAAAAUAAUUUCUACCAACUCUUAGAUUGUGACAAUUUUGAAACAAAAUGAACGUCCUUUGUCUGUUAUACUUCUUGUCAGGCAGCAGCCUAUAGCUUGACAAUAUCCGGUCAUUCCUUGACCAUAUUUACCAAAAUCUGCCCCAGUGUCGAUUUUGAAGAAGCAUACUAAAUUUAUGUUGUGAUGAGACCGAACCUUAUAUAGGUUGCCUAAGUAUCUCGCCAAGAGAAUCAGGUCAGAACGUAGUUCAAGUACAUAGAAAUGAUUUGGAAUUUUCUAAUAAAGGGACCGAAUCCGAUUUGGAUUACCUACAUAUUCCACCAAGGAAAUCAGGCCAUGUGUAGUUCAAAAUUACAUAAAUAGUAAAAGAAUUUUUAAUUUUUAGCCUAAUGUGACUGAACCGUAUGUGGGUGGCCUACGUAUCCCAUCGAGGGAAUCAAGUCAGGCGUAGUUCUUCUAUUACAAAUAAGGAAAUUUAGAAAUGUUCUAUUGUAAAACCGAACCCUAUAUGGGCUGCCUACGUAUCCUACCAAAGGAAUCAGGUCGGAACGUAGUUCGUGAAUUACAUGAAAAGUAGAAGUUACAUUCAAAAUCUAUCUAAAGUCACCCUUUGUUGUAGCAUAUUGACUUCUCUUGAAUGGAAAACUUCAUGCUCGAAUAUUCUCAUGUUGUCAUGUUUCUUGAUCGAUUGUUCAAUUGUAGGUUAUCUUCCCAUCCUCCAAAAAUGUUGCUUGGCUUUCGAACUUUGUUCAUUUGUUUCAUUAUGUCACAAUCAUAAAGUUGGCAGAUUUGAAAAUUCAUAAAGAUGUAUAUCUAAAAGUAAUAAGUAAGAGACAAUUAAGAAAAUAGGAAAUGCAUUCAUAGAUUUUGCAAUUAAGACUUUCAAAAAAAUGAGGCAAAACAACAUAAAGUUUUAAGGCAUGAUUUAAGCCUCGACUUUUAAAACCGUGCUACUUCAAAAGUGUUACUACUUGUUCAAUCUACCAAGACUCCCGGUGAACGAGAAACGGAGUACAAGUCCAAUUUUUCAAAGUCUCCUCUGGUUCAGCACCCCAAAUGGUCGGUGUCUCGGUGUCGUAGAGAGGCAUGUAAGAUGUUGUAGUAGUAACCUCUAUUGCUUCUUGUCCUUGGGUUAUUAAGAUAGGAGCACUAAAGGCAGACAAAGUAUCAUUUUCCACCUUUCCAAUGGGCACAAUAUUUCCGUUCAACACCACAUUUUCCUCUAUAGUUAUCAUGUUCACGUCAGCAUUUCCAUGUUUAGGCAAAUGGUUGUUGUUCACAUUGGGUUGAGGUCCAGUAAGUUGGAUUGCUCCUUCUUUAAUCAAGGCUUCAAUCUUGUUUUUGAGACCAUAACAAUCUUCAGUGUCGUGUCCAACAAAUCCAGAAUGAUAGGUACAACACUUGGAACCAUCAAACCAUUUUGGAAUGGGAUCAGGAAUUUUCCCUUCAAUCGGUUGUAUCAUACCUGUUGUUUUCAACCUCUCGAACAACUGAGCCAAUGGUUCGGCUAUUUUUGUGUAGUUGCGAGUGGUUUUGAAUUCAUGAUUUGGACGAGCUCUAGGUGCGGCGUAUGGUCGAUUUUGAAAAGUUGAAGCUUGGAGUGGUUGGUAUGAAUGUGGUUUAUUAUAAGUAGGAGCUCGAAGUUGAUAGUAGUUCGCUUGGGUGUUGUAGACAUGGUAAGGAGUUGAUGGAGGAUGGUAGAGACUCGGUGAGGCUUCACCAAAUUGGUAAGGGUAAAUGGGUUGAUGUGGUUGAGUUAGGUAAGGAUUAACUUGACUUGGCCUACACCCUUGGUCAAUCAUGACAACAGAUACAUCUUCUUUCUUCUUUUUGUUCCCAUUGAUAGAACCAUAUUGAAUCGCUUUGCUUGCAGCUUGCAAGGCUGUAAAGUCUUGGAUUCUUCUUGAUUUGAUUCCUUCUUCCAAGAUUUCUCCUAUUCUAAUGAUUUCUGUGAACUUUUGUCCCAUCAUGGUUAUCAUUUUCUCAUAGUAAAAAUUGUUAUCUUGGGAUUCAAUGAAGGUAGCAGUCAUUUCACUUUCACCCAUCGGUGGUUGGAGUCUAGCUGCUUCUGACCUCCAACGUAGAGCAUACUCACGAAAUGUCUCUGUAGACUUCUUCUUUAACUUAGUGAGGUAGAACCUAUCUGGUAUGAUGUCGGUAUUGAACUUGAAUCGAUCCAUAAAGUCUUGUGCCAUAUCACUCCAACCACACCAUUUAUGGAGAUCUUGUUGUGUGUACCAAGCAAGAGCUUCACCAGAUAAACUUCUUAUGAACAACUUCAUUCUGACCCUCUCGUCUCUCCCCACUCCUACCAGUUUGUCACAAUACGCCCUUAGAUGUGUAUGAGGGUCACCAAUUCCAUUGAAAGUAUCAAACUUUGGCAGUUUGUACCCUAUAGCCAAAUCAAUGUCAGGUUGCACACAGAGAUCCUCAUAUUCUAGGCUUUUGUUUCCCUUAGUAGUUUGGAGAUUUCUCAUUGCUUCCUUAAGAUCGCGAAUCUCUCUAGCUAACACAUCAUCGGCCUUUGCCUUGACAUCCUUCUCCAUUUCCUCAUAUUGAUCUACCUCGGGUUGAAACUUGACCGAUAUUGGAUUGGUAUAGGUUUGAGUUUCCACUGCAUAUACCGGAGGAACAAGUUGCAUGUAAGGAUUGGCAAUAUGUGCCCCUUAUAUAUGUUGGGUUGGAUAAGUUUGGACAAUGGGUGUAUUUUGAACAGGAGGUGAUGGAUUCGAUGGGUUUACGGGAGUAGUUGUAGGUUGUGGAUAUGUGUUAAUGGGUUGAGAAAUAUAAGGAGUAUGAGUUGGGGGUUGAUUUUGUGGGUUGACAUGUGGAUUAGGAGGUGUAGCAUAGGUAGUGUAGGUAGGUAGUUGACUUUGUGCAGGAGUGUAGAUGGGAAACAAAUUUGGUGGAUUUGCGGGAGUAGUUGGAGGAAGGUUAUUGUUGGUAGGCGGAGGUUGUUGUGGAGGAAAGUGUUCAGGUAUGGGUGAAUCAAGUGAUGGAAAACGAGGUGGGUUUGGUGCAGCACUCCUAGGUUCAGGAAGUGGACUUUGGAGUGUGAUGGAUAAGUUGGUCAAGUCUCUAACCCGAGUUAGUUCACUACAUAAAUCCUCAAUCUCUUGAGUCAAACGGGCGAUGUGUUCAUCAUGUUGAAUAGUAGUUCUAUCUUCGGAGGUCUCGGGAGAGUCAUUAGGAACCAUGAUAUGUCCUGGACCAAUUAGAUCAGAUGCGGUUGGAUUAAUCAUAGUAAUUUUUCUUCCUUGAAUAGCCCAACUACGCCGAGGUAAUGUUGAUGACUUGGACCUUGUGAAGUAAGGAUGGUCGGCCAGCUCGAUUGUCAACACGAAUCAACCUUGGUAGGGAAAAAAUAAAAAUAAAAAUAAUAAUAAGACAGAAAUAAUGUUAGUUUUAAAUGAAGAGGUAAAGUCAUGUUCACAUAAUUCAAAUAAAUCACGUAGCAUGCAAGUCAUCAAAUAGAUUCAAAUAAAUUGUAAGAAUAACAUGUAAACAAGUCAUCAAGUAAAGUCAAAUAUAUCGCAAAGAUAACAUGUAAACAUGUCCUAAUAUGAAACAUGUAAACAAGUCAUCAAGUAAAAUCAAAUAUGUCGCAAAUAUAACAUGUAAAUGUGUCCUAAUAUGCUUGUGACCUCUUUGUGCCAGAGGUUGGCCUAACGUAAAUUUAAGCAGUAUAUUUGCCACAAUAUGUCAUCCCAUUACUCUUGAUUAAUUAAACAGUUUUUUUCAAAAUAAGGUACAAAAGUAAUGAAAAAUUUAUUACAUGUCGAAUGAAUACAAUGUAAAGUACUUUUAAAAUAAAGUGAAAGAAAUUUUGUCAUGUCCGUCCUUCUUGGUUCCUUUUGGUGAUAUCGCCACUCUUGUACUCCAACGUCAAGUCUUCAUCAAUGUCACAGAAAGAUUAGCCAUACCACCUCCUAAAGUUUAAUUAAUUAGAGAAAAUGGUCCAUAUUUUGACAUAAAUAUUUCUCAAAUAUGCACAUAAAUAAUGAUAGGUCGUCACUUGGGAUCGGAAACCCACUUGGACAUUUAAGGUAAAGUCGACUAAUGGACUUAAUACACCAAGGGUAUAAAAUCUCUUAGGUCAUGAAAUGAUGUAUGCUCCUUGUAAAGUGUGUUGGUUUAGCUCUACUCUAGGUAAACUAGGAGUGGGUUUUACUAGAUACAAGGUUCCCGAGUGGACUACUCGAGUGAGAACGCUAUGCGGUCACACGGAAAAAGAUCCGGACACCCCACGCAUAUGCCAACUCUCCUAAAUUUUGGAAUUUUGAAAGAAAUUUGCGGGUGCGCAAAACACACCUCGCGUGUACGUGUGAUAGUGUGAAUUUCCAAGAAGUGGAGAAAUAUGAACAGAAUGACAGUUAAGUAAAGCAGUAACAUAUAAACAUUUAUAACACACAAACACUUUAUAGCAUGUAAACGUGAUUUAUUGCUAAUGAAUAAUUUAUAUCAUGUGAAAAUAAUUCAAAGCGAACAAACAAUCAAUUGCAUGUAAAAACAGUUUACGAUAAAUAAUGUAAUUAAAGUAAGCACAUAAAAACCUAAUUAAACUAAAUCCGUUGUGGUUAGAACCUAUUAAGUCCCCAGUGAAGUCGCCAAGCUGUUAUACCCCAUGUUAACCGUGUCAAAAUAGUGUACAACAUUUUGGAGAUUUCUAAAGUUAUUGACUAAUUUAAGAACUCACCACCUAAUUAUUACUAGAUUUCUAAAGUUAUUGACUAAUUUAAGAAGUCGCCACCUAAUUAUUACGGUGAAUUAGGACACCUAUAUUGAUUAAAGUUAUGUUCUAAAGUUAACUUCAUUUUAAGGUCUACUAAACUUAAAAUUCUAGGUAAGGGUUCAACUAAUCUAAAGGGAAGGGGUUAGGCACCCUUUAAGAUCCAUUAAAAAAUGGUUGACCGCUCGAACUUAGUUAAUUAAUUAAGCUAAGUGUUAAAAUAAAAUAUAGAUUUUUGAAAUACGAGAGUAGUAAUAUAAAUAUGUAAGUUUCUUAAAUUUGAAAUUUGAAAGGUGAUCUCAUGAGUUGAGAACACUCUUUUUAUUAGCCAAAAAUACCCAAAGUAAAAGAUAGCGUAGAAAACAACUUUUAUCCAAAAAUGAUUAUGAUCUUUUAAUAAAAUAUAUUUUGGAACUAAUCAAAUGUAGUAAGAUAUUUAAAAUAUACCAAUCCAUCUGUGGAAAACGAUUUUGGAACUAAUCAAAUGUAGUAAGAUAUUUAAAAUAUACCCGUCCAUCUGUGGAAAAUGUUUGAAUUUACAAACAAAGUUAAAACAAACAUCUUUGAUUAGUUUACACUUAUGAGUGGUUAAAAUUAUCGUAGGUAACUAAAAAACAUUUCUUUUCUUUUUACUAUUAAGCCAGACUCUAGGGAAUAAGUUAAUUUUAUUCAUAUUUUUAAACUAAGUGACUCAUCAAUAAAGUAUUCAAAUAGAGAUCAAAUAUGUCUAGAUUGUAAAAUAAAGCAUAACAGCAAACAAAAUAAUUAAGCUAGCAUAAAGGUAAAUAAUAGGCUAGACAACUAAUUUUGUACAGAUAGGUCUCUGGAAAUAGGAAAAGCGAGUAAAUGUUUUAUCAAAAUACGAGUGGUCAAUCCCAUGUUCGGUUUAUGCAAGCUCCGUAUGACAAUGGUGUCGUUGAGUCUCACGGUGAGACUCUUCAACUCCGGUAUGUACAUGUAAACAAAGAUAAGAAAAGAAAUAAAAAUUAGCAAGCAUGUAAUGGCGAAGUAUCAAAAUGAACAAUGAAAUUUCUAGCAAAUAGCAAUAAGAAAACUAAAAAGAAAACAGUCAUACGGGAGAAGCACAACAAGGAUUAUAACCAUAUAACAAAUUAAGAGCAUCAACUUCAUCUCCCUAAUACGACAAUUUAUGGUCUACUUAAAUAUACAUAAUCUCAUAACCAUGAUCCUAGGAUGGUAUUAAAGAGAGUUUGCAUUUAGAGUAAUAGGGACAAAUGACAAUAUUAUUUACACAAGACUACUAAUUAAUUCAUUUAGUUAAAGAUGGUUAAAAUUAGUUCUUUUAUAUAGUGUAUCUAUCAUAUAACGAAAUCUUAAUCAUGAUUUCCAGAAGAACUGAGUCAGGGAUUUAAAUCGUCAAACUAGUAGAUUCAAAAAUUGAUCCUAAGUUCAUGCUUUUCUACAAUACAAAAUAAAUAGAGUUAUCUAUGCAAAGUUUAAAAAUAUGAUAAGAAAGUUAGAGUCAGAGUCGUGUACAUAAUAAUUUAUUUGAAGCUACAAACAUGGAAUAUGAACCACAAGCAUCAAAACAUAUAUAUCAUUUGUCAUUUUUCAUAUAGAAACU